UACGUAGGGUGCGAGCGUUGUCCGGAAUUAUUGGGCGUAAAGAGCUCGUAGGCGGUUUGUCGCGUCUGCCGUGAAAGUCCGGGGCUCAACUCCGGAUCUGCGGUGGGUACGGGCAGACUAGAGUGAUGUAGGGGAGACUGGAAUUCCUGGUGUAGCGGUGAAAUGCGCAGAUAUCAGGAGGAACACCGGUGGCGAAGGCGGGUCUCUGGGCCGUAACUGACGCUGAGGAGCGAAAGCAUGGGGAGCGAACAGG
rnacentral:rRNA from 1 species